rnacentral:rRNA from 1 species
UACGGAGGGUGCGAGCGUUGUCCGGAAUCAUUGGGCGUAAAGGGCGCGUAGGUGGCGGCUUAAGCGUGCGGUGAAAGCUCGGGGCUCAACCCCGAGUCGGCCGUGCGAACUGAGUCGCUUGAGCACUGUAGAGGCAGGCGGAAUUCCGGGUGUAGCGGUGGAAUGCGUAGAGAUCCGGAAGAACACCGGUGGCGAAGGCG